CUGGAUGGAAACAGAACACUGUUGUCAUCAUUUAGCAAAAUUACCUUCGUUUUGCCGUAAGCCAUCAGGCACCUCCUAAAACAACGGCUUCCGGAAUGUCUGCAAGUGUGAGGAGGGCUGGAAAGGUCAGAUUCAGAUCACCCCGAAGCAGGACAACUCCAACCGUAUCGGAGCAUAGACUGUGAUAAACACACAGAGGAGGUGAUGUCCUCUGCUAGCUGACAAUGAGCAGAGCCUACAUGAAGGACUCGGCUGUGCUCAAAUCCCCUGUCAUCUUCACUCACGAACAUCCCAUUCACACACACUCAAAAGAAGAUUCCCUGCAGUGACAUACUGUAGAAGAGAGAUUUUUGCUUCCCAACGAACCUGUCAACAGUUUUUAAAAGAGACAUUUAUUCCUAAUGUGAACAACAUUUUACUUUACUGAAAAACAUUCUGUGCAAUGGACAGGUUCGGUGAAUGCUAAAGGUCUUUUGUGGAGCCAUCGUUGCCAAUAAAACCUUUAUUUUUAA
rnacentral:lncRNA from 1 species